CAGAGGAACAGGAAGAUAUUAAUGUGGCAGAUGAACAAGCAAACUACUUGUCACUUUGAUGUACAAUUUUCUUUUGUACAUCUUCUUCUUCUCCUCUUCCUCCUUUUAUUUUCUUCUUGUUGUAGUUUUGAUGGACUUUUGGAAACACAUUAGUGAAGUCUUGGUUGUUGUUCGUAUCGUAUAAAAAUAAA
rnacentral:ribozyme from 1 species